rnacentral:misc_RNA from 1 species
GAAAUGCGAUACUUGGUCUGAAUUGCAGAAUCCCGUGAACCAUCGAGUCUUUGAACGCAAGUUGCGCCUGAAGCCAUUAGGCCGAGGGCACGUCUGCCAACCCACCUUGUGUGGCAAAGGGGGAGGAAGAUGGCUUCCCAUUCCUCACCGGGCAUGGUUGGCUUAAAUAAGAAGCCUUAAGUUACGGACUUCUACGGCUAUUGGUGGUACAAUAAGGCUUAGCCUUGGCGUAUCGAGCCGUGAAGUACGUAGCUUCUAUGGGCUUGCAGGACCCUGAGUAUCUCCUUGUUGGGAUUAACCGUUGCGACCCCAGGUCAGGCGGGGUUACCUGCUGAGUUUAA